CCCUCGGUCGUCUAGUUGGUUUAUGGCGUCCGGCUGUAAUAGAACAGUCUCACCGGAAUGGUUAGUGAUCAACCACUCCAAAAGCAAAAAAUGCUCUCAGUCAAUUGCUAACAAUUGAACAGUCGCGCGUUCGACUCGCGCCUGAGGGA